rnacentral:rRNA from 1 species
CCUACGGGGGGCUGCAGUGGGGAAUAUUGGACAAUGGGCGAAAGCCUGAUCCAGCAAUGCCGCGUGAGUGAUGAAGGCCUUAGGGUUGUAAAGCUCUUUUACCAGGGAUGAUAAUGACAGUACCUGGAGAAUAAGCUCCGGCUAACUCCGUGCCAGCAGCCGCGGUAAUACGGAGGGAGCUAGCGUUGUUCGGAAUUACUGGGCGUAAAGCGCACGUAGGCGGCUACUCAAGUCGGGGGUGAAAGCCCGGGGCUCAACCCCGGAACUGCCCUCGAAACUAGGUAGCUAGAAUCUUGGAGAGGUCAGUGGAAUUCCGAGUGUAGAGGUGAAAUUCGUAGAUAUUCGGAAGAACACCAGUGGCGAAGGCGACUGACUGGACAAGUAUUGACGCUGAGGUGCG